CUUGCUAGAGAUGACGAGCGGCGGACGGGUGAGUAAUGCUUGGGAACAUGCCUUGAGGUGGGGGACAACCAUUGGAAACGAUGGCUAAUACCGCAUAAUGUCUACGGACCAAAGGGGGCUUCGGCUCUCGCCUUUAGAUUGGCCCAAGUGGGAUUAGCUAGUUGGUGAGGUAAAGGCUCACCAAGGCGACGAUCCCUAGCUGGUUUGAGAGGAUGAUCAGCCACACUGGAACUGAGACACGGUCCAGACUCCUACGGGAGGCAGCAGUGGGGAAUAUUGCACAAUGGGCGCAAGCCUGAUGCAGCCAUGCCGCGUGUGUGAAGAAGGCCUUCGGGUUGUAAAGCACUUUCAGUCAGGAGGAAAGGUUAGUAGUUAAUACCUGCUAGCUGUGACGUUACUGACAGAAGAAGCACCGGCUAACUCCGUGCCAGCAGCCGCGGUAAUACGGAGGGUGCGAGCGUUAAUCGGAAUUACUGGGCGUAAAGCGUACGCAGGCGGUUUGUUAAGCGAGAUGUGAAAGCCCCGGGCUUAACCUGGGAACUGCAUUUCGAACUGGCAAACUAGAGUGUGAUAGAGGGUGGUAGAAUUUCAGGUGUAGCGGUGAAAUGCGUAGAGAUCUGAAGGAAUACC
rnacentral:rRNA from 1 species